rnacentral:lncRNA from 1 species
CUUAAAUCUCUGCCUUUUCUUUCCUGUCUCAUUUAUAGACCCAUCAUAAUAAAUAUGGCUACUAGGCCAGAUACAGAGGCUCACGCCUGUAAUCCCAGCACUUUGGGAGGCUGAGGUGGGCGGAUCACAAGGUCAGGAGUUCGAGACCAGCCUGGCCAACAUGGUGAAACCCUGUCUCUACUAAAAAUACAAAAAAUUAGCCGGGUGUGGUGGCGUGUGCCUGUAAUACCAGCUACUUGAGAGGCUGAGUUUGGACAUUAAUAAAGGAGGAAAAUCUAAGUCCUUAACCUGUGGGAUCUGAUGCUAUUUCGAGAAAAUGGCUAGAAAAAGGGAAUCUAAGAUAGUGGAGCCAUGUAAUGAGAGGAGCCAGAUACCUGUGUCAACACUUGGAGACAAGCUACUGAGGAAUGCAUACGAAUAAACAACAUUGGACUUUACAUGAAGAAGAAAUAAACUUUUCAUUAUUUUGUAUUGUUUUUGUUAUAGAGGCUAGGGUUGAUUACCAUGACAAUGUUUAAACAUAGGUAAUCUCAAAAAUACAAAUUAAUAUAAAAAGCCUUUGUAGGGAAAUGGAUGGAGCUGGAGACCAUUAUCCUUAGCAAACUGAGGCAGGAAGAGAAAACCAAAUACCACAUGUUCUCACUUAUAAGUGAGAGCUAAAUGAUGAGAACACCUGGACACAUAGAGGGAAACAACACACACUGUGGCCUAUCAGAGGGUGGAGGGUGGGAGGAGGGAGAGGGUCAAGAAAAAUAACUAAUGUAUACUAGGCUUAAUACCUGGGUGAUGAAAUAAUCUGUACAACAAACCCCCAUGAUGCAUGUUUACCUGUGUAACAAACCUGCACAUGUACUUCUGAAUUUAAAAACAUCAAUUUGCAUGAUGAUAUUAUAUAUAAAAUAUUUAAAACAAAAAAUAAUGUUACAUGGUAUUUAUUUUGUAUACACAUGUAAAAAUAUAUAAGUGUGCAUGAAAUGAACUACCAA